GACGAACGCUGGCGGCGUGCUUAACACAUGCAAGUCGAGCGGAGCGGCGAACGGGUGAGUAACGCGUGAGUAAAUGCCCCCCUCUCUGGGAUAACAGUUGGAAACGGCUGCUAAUACGGGAUAGUGGGGGAUGGCUCGCGUCCUAUCAGCUUGUUGGUGGGGUAGUGGCUUACCAAGGCGGCGACGGGUCGCCGGCCUGAGAGGGCGACCGGCCACAGUGGGCGUGGGUACGGCCCAAACUCCUACGGGGGGCAGCGGUGGGGAAUAGUGCACAAUGGGGGAAACCCUGAUGCAGCAACGCCGCGUGCGGGAUGACGGCCUUCAGGUUGUAAACCGCUUUCAGCCAUGACGCGGUAGUGGCAGAAGAAGCACCGGCUAACUACGUGCCAGCAGCCGCGGUAAUUC
rnacentral:rRNA from 1 species